GCAUAAUCAUUUGCCUAUUAAUUGUUGGCUAGUAUGAAAGGAUAAACGAGAAUAGUGCUGUCUCCUUCAAGACCCUAAAAAUUUAUCUUUAAGUGAAGAAGCUUAAAUAUAAUCGCAGGACAAGAAGACCCUAUAGAGCUUUACCUACUCUUCCUAAACUAAAUAGAAAAGUUGGUUCGGUUGGGGCGACCAAGGGAUAUAAAUCACCCUUAUAAAAUCAGACCUACAGGUCUCAUAAAUGAUCCUUACAAAAAGAUCAAUGAAUCAAGCUACCUUAGGGAUAACAGGCUAAUUCUCCUUUAGAGCCCUUAUCAACAGGAGAGG
rnacentral:rRNA from 1 species